UACGGAGGGGGCUAGCGUUGUUCGGAGUUACUGGGCGUAAAGGGCGCGUAGGCGGCGCACCAAGUCAGGCGUGAAAGCCCUGGGCUCAACCCGGGAAUUGCGCUUGAGACUGGUGUGCUUGAGUACGGGAGAGGAUAGUGGAAUUCCCAGUGUAGAGGUGAAAUUCGUAGAUAUUGGGAAGAACACCGGUGGCGAAGGCGGCUAUCUGGACCGUAACUGACGCUGAGGCGCGAAAGCGUGGGGAGCAAACAGGG
rnacentral:rRNA from 1 species